UUCAGAUUGAACGCUGGCGGCAUGCCUUACACAUGCAAGUCGAACGGUAACGGGUUAAGCCGACGAGUGGCGAACGGGUGAGUAAUAUAUCGGAACGUGCCCAGUCGUGGGGGAUAACGUAGAGAAAUUUACGCUAAUACCGCAUACGAUCCAAGGAUGAAAGCGGGGGACCUUCGGGCCUCGUGCGACUGGAGCGGCUGAUAUCAGAUUAGGUUGUUGGUGAGGUAAAAGCUCACCAAGCCGACGAUCUGUAGCUGGUUUGAGAGAACGACCAGCCACACUGGGACUGAGACACGGCCCAGACUCCUACGGGAGGCAGCAGUGGGGAAUUUUGGACAAUGGGCGAAAGCCUGAUCCAGCAAUGCCGCGUGCAGGAAGAAGGCCUUCGGGUUGUAAACUGCUUUUGUACGGAACGAAAAGGUCUGCCCUAAUACGGCGGGCUCAUGACGGUACCGUAAGAAUAAGCACCGGCUAACUACGUG
rnacentral:rRNA from 1 species